rnacentral:misc_RNA from 1 species
UAUCCGUAGGUGAACCUGCGGAAGGGUCAUUACAGAGUUCAUGCCCGACAGGGCAAACCUCCCACCCUUGUGUAUUAUUACUUUGUUGCUUUGGCGAGCGCAAGCUGACCAGAGAAUAUCAUAACUCGUUUUCUUAAUGUCGUCUGAGUACUAUAUAAUAGUUAAAACUUUCAACAACGGAUCUCUUGGUUCUG